AUGGAGGAGAAGAGCUCUCGGCACAAGAAGGCAAGGGCGACCAACCCUCCGGCGUCGGCGCAGGAGGCAGUUCCGGUGGCGGAGGCGGCCAGCCUCCUGACGGACGACCUCAUCGUGGAGAUCCUCUCCCACCUCCCCGCCAGGUCCGUCCACCGCUUCAAGUGCGUCUCGCCGUCCUGGCGCGCCCUCAUCACGGACCCCGCCAACCGCAAGAAGCUGCCCCAGGCCCUCGCCGGCUUCCUCUACAGCACCUUCCACAGGAGAGACCCCCACUUCCAUGAAUUCCACUUCGCCAACAUCUCCAACAGCCCAUCCCCGCCGGUUGACCCGCUCCUCCCUUUCUUGCCAUCCGACAAGUACCUGUACGUCAACCAGCUGGACACCUGCAAUGGCCUCCUCCUCUGCCGCGUCCACAUGGCCCCUUCUUCUCCUUCCGGGGACGAGAAUACGCCGGUUGAAUCCCAUUACAUCGUGUGCAAUCCGGCCACCGGGAGGUGGGUCGACCUCCCCCCUCACCCUGAGGCGCCUCCUGACAGCUUCGUCUUCGCUCGUUUGGCUUUUGAUCCAGCAGUCUCCUCCCAUUUCCGUGUUCUUCAAUUUGAGAACAGCGAUCUGAAGAAAUACGUCACAGGAGUCAACAUAUACUCUUCGCAAACUGGAGCCUGGAAUCAUAGAGAAAGUCGCUUGUUUGAGAAAAUUACCCUCUUCGCCGGCCUUUCCGGUGUCUUCUUUCACGGUAUGCUACACUUGCUUGGUUGGCUGCACCACCCCCUGUACAUGGACGAAAAUUUUGUGCUGGUAGCAGUGGACGUGGAGGGGCAGGUGUGGAAGACUACCCGUUUGCCUUCACGUGGUUUGGGUUUUGGUAGAAUUGGAUUGUCACAGGGGUGCUUGCACUAUGCUAGCAAAGUCCUACCUACUGUUGACAAUAACAAGAAGAAGAAGAAGAAAAAGGAGGAGGAUACAUCUCUAGCUGCCGAGAUAGCAGCAGUCUGGUGCAUGAAGGAUUAUGAUAGUAAGGAAUGGAUUUUGAAGCAUAGUGUCACCAUUGCUGAGUUAUGGAGCAUAACUUCGGCAGAGUUCGAUGUUGCUGCUAUUCAUCCAGACCGCGGCAGCAUUUUCUUGUAUUCAUAUGAUGAUGAUACAUUGGCAUCAUACGAUAUGCAACAUCGACUUCAUCGUAUCCUUCAUCUCGAGGAAAACAACACAGCAAUAUUUCUACCCUAUGUUCCACUCUUCUCAGACUCAUUUGCAGGUGCAGAUGGGCAGUAG
rnacentral:rRNA from 1 species